rnacentral:rRNA from 1 species
GAUGAACGCUGGCGGCGUGCCUAAUACAUGCAAGUCGAGCGAACGGACGAGAAGCUUGCUUCUCUGAUGUUAGCGGCGGACGGGUGAGUAACACGUGGAUAACCUACCUAUAAGACUGGGAUAACUUCGGGAAACCGGAGCUAAUACCGGAUAAUAUUUUGAACCGCAUGGUUCAAAAGUAAAAGACGGUCUUGCUGUCACUUAUAGAUGGAUCCGCGCUGCAUUAGCUAGUUGGUAAGGUAACGGCUUACCAAGGCAACGAUGCAUAGCCGACCUGAGAGGGUGAUCGGCCACACUGGAACUGAGACACGGUCCAGACUCCUACGGGAGGCAGCAGUAGGGAAUCUUCCGCAAUGGGCGGAAGCCUGACGGAGCAACGCCGCGUGAGUGAUGACGGUCUUCGGAUCGUAAAACUCUGUUACUAGGGAUGAACAUAUGUGUAAGGAACUGUGCACAUCUUGACGGUACCUAAUCAGAAAGCCAUGGCUAACUACGUG